CGCCUGGUAGUCCACGGUCGGCAGGAUCAGCGGGUUCUCGCCCUGCAGCGCGCCCAGUUCCGCCUGCACCUGGCGC
rnacentral:tRNA from 1 species